rnacentral:piRNA from 1 species
UACCCUGUCUUAAGCCCUCAGGAGUGGG